UACGGAGGGUGCAAGCGUUGUCCGGAUUUAUUGGGUUUAAAGGGCGCGUAGGCGGCUUUUUAAGUCAGUGGUGAAAGACAACAGCUCAACUGUUGCAGUGCCAUUGAUACUGAAGAGCUUGAGUACAGAUGAGGUAGGCGGAAUUUAUGGUGUAGCGGUGAAAUGCAUAGAUACCAUAAAGAACACCUAUUGCGAAGGCAGCUUACUAGCUGUAACUGAACGACUGAGGCACGAAAGUGUGGGGAUCAAACAGG
rnacentral:rRNA from 1 species